rnacentral:rRNA from 1 species
GAUGAACGCUGGCGGCGUGCCUAAUACAUGCGAGUCGAGCGAACGGACGAGAAGCUUGCUUUUCUGAUGUUAGCGGCGGACGGGUGAGUAACACGUGGAUAACCUACCUAUAAGACUGGGAUAACUUCGGGAAACCGGAGCUAAUACCGGAUAAUAUUUUGAACCGCAUGGUUCAAAAGUGAAAGACGGUCUUGCUGUCACUUAUAGAUGGAUCCGCGCUGCAUUAGCUAGUUGGUAAGGUAACGGCUUACCAAGGCAACGAUGCAUAGCCGACCUGAGAGGGUGAUCGACCACACUGGAACUGAGACACGGUCCAGACUCCUACGGGAGGCAGCAGUAGGGAAUCUUCCGCAAUGGGCGAAAGCCUGACGGAGCAACGCCGCGUGAGUGAUGAAGGUCUUCGGAUCGUAAAACUCUGUUAUUAGGGAAGAACAUAUGUGUAAGUAACUGUGCACAUCUUGACGGUACCUAAUCAGAAAGCCACGGCUAACUACGUG